CGGGGGAGGCCGGAUCCUGGGCUGUGUCCCAGCGCCCUGUGCUCCCGGGCCUGCGCUGUUGCAUUCGCUCCCGCCCCGCAGCCCCCU
rnacentral:pre_miRNA from 1 species